AGCAUUUGCCGCGAGUUAUUGGCAAGUUCCCCUGCAGUUUGGGCUGUCUCUGUGGCUGGUUCUGCGGCGUGCGGCCAGCCAUGGAGCGCUCUGGGCCCAGCGAAGUGACAGGCUCAGACGCAUCGGGACCGGACCCGCAGCUUGCGGUCACCAUGGGCUUCACGGGGUUCGGUAAAAAAGCUCGCACAUUUGACUUGGAAGCAAUGUUUGAACAAACUCGAAGAACAGCUGUGGAAAGAAGUUGCAAAACACUGGGCCACCAGGAACACACCUGUAGCCCAGCAAAGUUGAGGCCAUCAACUGGCUCAUCACAACAAGGAAGGCUGUGCACCACUGGGACCCAGCAGCAGCUCAGCAGCAGCAGUGAAAGGGCCUUGGGAAAGACUCGGAGGGUUUGGCUUAUACAAGGCCAGAUUACAGAGGGGUAUUGAUUUGCCUUGCCCCCGCCCCCACCAUCACAGUGUGUCCCUGUCCAGUGUUGGUGCUGUGUGGCAUUGGCUUGUGUCCAUAGGAGUCCAUCAAGGCAGAGCGGCAGAGUGGGAAGGCAGUUCAACCCAAUGGAAAUGGAUUGAAAGAGUGAAAGUCACUGGUCUCAAAGAAUCUACGGAAUUUAGCAUUUUGAAAAUCACAUAGCAAUUUUGGGUAGGUAUUCACCUGCACUAAAAAACCAGGCAAACAUCCGACUCCCAGGAUAAAGUGACUGAGAGCAGUAGAAGACUUGUUGAGCCUUAAGGAAUAAGAGGAAAAUUACGUUAUGAAGUGCAGGAACAGCACAGACCCAGACGAGGGGACGCAGCCCGGAGCCAGUAACCCGGCGCCACCUCCUCCCCAGGGCGCAGCGCUGGCUGAUCCCCAGAUACCGUGAUCACACGUCCCGGGUCCUGAGAGCGCCUCAUAGGUAGACAGUUCUUUGGGACUUCUGGGAUGCAGCACUUGAAGAGAGGUUUACCUAAACUUUCCUCCUGGGAGCCUGUGAUCAUUUGAAAGUAACAGAAGAAAGUUGUCAGGCUGAGGAAAGUUUCAACAGGCACUUGGUGAGAAUGGGAAGCAUCCAUUCAUUGUGAAAUCGCGGGGACAGAGGAGGAAUUCACGGGAUCAGAGCACUGAGAAACUCCAGAGGCUUCUGGUUCACCGCCCUGAUUCCACAGAUGUGGGUCAGAGGCAGAGAUGGAAGUUGGAAUGGACAAGCCUGCCCUCUCCUUGGCUCUCCAUGGCUCUGUCCUCAGGCUGUUUCUGCAAUUUGACAUGAGGCCUGGCCCCAGGGAAACCAGUGGGGCCUCAUCUCCUCCCUGUGCUGCUCUGAGGUGGAGCCUUCUCAGGGUCAGUCCAGCUCUGGAGCCCCUCUCCAGCUCGGUCACCAAAGCUGUCUGGUCCCAGGGCGGUGCUGAGUGACAGGCAUGCCAGCCAAUCCAAUCGGCAAUUUCAUAUCCAAUGCAUGUGACUGAUAAAGAGAUAACGCCCUGUCUCCAAGACACAGGCUUUACAUAAACAGCUUUAAUGACUUCUUCACUUAGAGACAAGACUCCUUAGUGGUGGAACCUCAGGCAUCCGUGCAGGACGUAAGAAAGCUGCCGUAUAUACAUGAACUGAGAAGUGUGUAGAAGAAUAAAUACUGUAAUAGGUAAUAAAAUGUAUGUAUUUUUAUUUA
rnacentral:lncRNA from 10 species